UUUCCGUAGGUGAACCUGCGGAAGGAUCAUUGUCAUAAUCUUAUAGAAUGCCAGUGGACAUGCGGACUCGUCUGAACAUAUGCAGGGGGUGCUCGAUGGUCGGCCCCGGGUGCACCCCACGGUCGAUGACGACGUGCCUCCGGGGGCAUGAUCACAUUGAUCUUAACUCUUAUACCGGUACAGGAUGUGCCAAGGUAACUUUGCUACAACACCUCCCCGUGAACCGCCACGUUGUGUGCGCGGGAUUCAUGGAGGUGACCCGCGCAAACAUGAUACGAUGACUCUCGGCAAUGGAUAUCUCGGCUCCCGUGUCGAUGAAGAACGCAGCGAAAUGCGAUACAUGGUGUGAAUUGCAGAAUCUCGUGAAUCAUUGAGUUUUUGAACGCAAGUUGCGCCCGAGGCCGUUUUUGGGUCGAGGGCACGCCUGCCUGGGAGUCAUGCAUGGAGUUGCCCCCGGACCUCCCUGGAUCAGAGACCCACUUAUUUUGUUGGUUUUCGGAAGGAGGGACUCCGAGGGGUGGAUGGUGGCCUCCCGUUCCCCGUUGUGCGGUUGGCUUAAUUUCAUGGUCCUUGGUGGACAUGUGGCAUGACGUGUUGUGGAGAACAAUGUUUUCCCAUGCCAGCAGGUGAACCGUUGCGGUCCCAGGGCUUCGUUGACACAUUGGACGGGGCAACAAUUUCGACCCC
rnacentral:misc_RNA from 1 species